ACGGGAGGCAGCAGUGGGGAAUAUUGCACAAUGGGGGAAACCCUGAUGCAGCGACGCCGCGUGAGCGAAGAAGUAUCUCGGUAUGUAAAGCUCUAUCAGCAGGGAAGAAGAAUGACGGUACCUGACUAAGAAGCUCCGGCUAAAUACGUGCCAGCAGCCGCGGUAAUACGUAUGGAGCAAGCGUUAUCCGGAUUUACUGGGUGUAAAGGGAGUGUAGGCGGCAUGGCAAGUCUGAUGUGAAAAUCCGGGGCUUAACCCCGGACCUGCAUUGGAAACUGUCAGGCUGGAGUGUCGGAGAGGUAAGUGGAAUUCCUAGUGUAGCGGUGAAAUGCGUAGAUAUUAGGAGGAACACCAGUGGCGAAGGCGGCUUACUGGACGACAACUGACGCUGAGGCUCGAAAGCGUGGGGAGCAAACAGGAUUAGAUACCCUGGUA
rnacentral:rRNA from 1 species